rfam:Granulicella rosea strain DSM 18704 genome assembly, contig: Ga0111638_103
CCUGCGGUUCCGUCCGCAGUAGCCUAUCGACAUCGGAGUAGCUGGUAACGGCUGGGUCGAAAGCUGUCGAGACAACGAUCCUCUGUCUUCCGACAAGGAGAACUCCGUGAGGCGUUCUCUGCCACUGCCAGCGUCAAGGCGGUGGGAGGG